rnacentral:misc_RNA from 1 species
GUCGUAACAAGGUUUCCGUAGGUGAACCUGCGGAAGGAUCAUUACCACACCAAAAAAAAUUCCACGUGAAAUUUCAAGUUAUUUGUUUUGUGUCUAGAAGCUUGCUUCUAGACUAAACGAAGGUAUGCAGUGUAAACUGUAUCACCGAUGUUCUAUUCAAACCCCUUUUAAUUUUUUAUACUGAUAUUUUAAACUGCAGUAAUGAAAAUUAUUGUUUUAAUAAAAUACAACUUUCAACAGUGGAUGUCUAGGCUC